AUUGAACGCUGGCGGCAUGCCUUACACAUGCAAGUCGAACGGCAGCACGGGUGCUUGCACCUGGUGGCGAGUGGCGAACGGGUGAGUAAUACAUCGGAACAUGUCCUGUAGUGGGGAUAGCCCGGCGAAAGCCGGAUUAAUACCGCAUACGAUCUACGGAUGAAAGCGGGGGACCUUCGGGCCUCGCGCUAUAGGGUUGGCCGAUGGCUGAUUAGCUAGUUGGUGGGGUAAAGGCCUACCAAGGCGACGAUCAGUAGCCGGUCUGAGAGGACGACCAGCCACACUGGGACUGAGACACGGCCCAGACUCCUACGGGAGGCAGCAGUGGGGAAUUUUGGACAAUGGGCGAAAGCCUGAUCCAGCAAUGCCGCGUGUGUGAAGAAGGCCUUCGGGUUGUAAAGCACUUUUGUCCGGAAAGAAAUCCUUGGCUCUAAUACAGUCGGGGGAUGACGGUACCGGAAGAAUAAGCACCGGCUAACUACGUG
rnacentral:rRNA from 1 species